CAGCAGCCGCGGGAACACGUAGGUGGCAAGCGUUGUCCGGAAUUAUUGGGCGUAAAGGGCUCGCAGGCGGUUUCUUAAGUCUGAUGUGAAAGCCCCCGGCUCAACCGGGGAGGGUCAUUGGAAACUGGGAAACUUGAGUGCAGAAGAGGAGAGUGGAAUUCCACGUGUAGCGGUGAAAUGCGUAGAGAUGUGGAGGAACACCAGUGGCGAAGGCGACUCUCUGGUCUGUAACUGACGCUGAGGAGCGAAAGCGUGGGGAGCGAACAGGAUUAGAGACCCGAGUAGUCCCUGUCUCUUAUAU
rnacentral:rRNA from 1 species